rnacentral:rRNA from 1 species
GCCUACAUGAAGCUGGAGUUACUAGUAAUCGCAGAUCAGAAUGCUGCGGUGAAUGCGUUCCCGGGUCUUGUACACACCGCCCGUCACACCACGGAAGUUGGGGCGCCCGAAGCCACUUAGCUAACCCUUUUGGGAAGCGAGUGUCGAAGGUGAAAUCAAUAACUGGGGUGAAGUCGUAACAAGGUAAC